UGCGAGUAAUUGACCGCUGCAUAUUUAUUAUGUAGAGGAAAGUCCAUGCUUGCACAGACUGCGAUGUCUGUAGUGUCUCUGUAGGUCAAAUAAAUAGAACCUAGCAUCUGUUAGCUUGAUGACGGCCGUUUAUACCUAAGGUUAGCAAUAACGAUGGAAAAGAACGAUAAUGUGCCACAGUGACGAAUUAAUAGGAAACUAUUAAGUGAAACGCGGUAAACCCCAGAAGCAAGAAACCUAAAUUUUGGUAAGGGAACGGGUAAUUGAUAACUGAAUUAAUUACUUGACUAAUAAGCAAUUAUUAGUAGACAAAUGGUCAAUAUUGAUUUUGUAAAAAAUCAACACAGAACAUGGCUUAAGCUC
rnacentral:RNase_P_RNA from 1 species